UAAAGGAAGCGAUUCCGGCUACGGAUGGUCAUGCGUCGCAUUAGCUAGUGGGCGGGGUAACGGCCCACCAAGGCGACGAUGCGUAGGGGUUCUGAGAGGAAGGUCCCCCACACUGGUACUGAGACACGGACCAGACUCCUACGGGAGGCAGCAGUGAGGAAUAUUGGUCAAUGGCCGCAGGGCUGAACCAGCCAAGUCGCGUGAGGGAUGACGGUCCUAUGGAUUGUAAACCUCUUUUGUCAGGGAGCAAAGGGCGCCACGUGUGGCGCUUUGCGAGUACCUGAAGAAAAAGCAUCGGCUAACUCCGUGCCAGCAGCCGCGGUAAUACGGAGGAUGCGAGCGUUAUCCGGAUUUAUUGGGUUUAAAGGGUGCGCAGGCGGAAUGUCAAGUCAGCGGUAAAAUUUCGGGGCUCAACCCCGUCGUGCCGUUGAAACUGGCGUUCUUGAGUGAGCGAGAAGUAUGCGGAAUGCGUGGUGUAGCGGUGAAAUGCAUAGAUAUCACGCAGAACUCCGAUUGCGAAGGCAGCAUACCGGCGCUCAACUGACGCUCAUGCACGAAAGCGUGGGUAUCGAACAGGAUUAGAUACCCUGGUAGUCCACGCAGUAAACGAUGAAUACUAACUGUCCGGGCAGAAUGAUGCCUGG
rnacentral:rRNA from 1 species